CCUACGGGUGGCAGCAGUGAGGAAUAUUGGUCAAUGGGCGCGCGCCUGAACCAGCCAAGUCGCGUGAAGGAUGACUGCCCUACGGGUUGUAAACUUCUUUUAUAAAGGAAUAAAGUGAGGCACGUGUGCCUUUUUGUAUGUACUUUAUGAAUAAGGAUCGGCUAACUCCGUGCCAGAGGCCGCGGGAAUACGGAGGAUCCGAGCGUUAUCCGGAUUUUUUGGGUUUAAAGGGAGCGUAGGGGGGUUGUUAAGUCAGUUGUGAAAGUUUGCGGCUCAACCGUAAAAUUGCAAUUGAUACUGGCAGUCUUGAGUACAGAUGAGGUAGGCGGAAUGCGUGGUGUAGCGGUGAAAUGCUUAGAUAUCACGAAGAACACCGAUUGCGAAGGCAGCUUACUAAACUGCCACUGACAUUGAUGCUCGAAAGUGUGGGGAGCAAACAGGAUUAGAUACCCGUGUAGUC
rnacentral:rRNA from 1 species